rnacentral:rRNA from 1 species
UACGUAGGGUGCAAGCGUUAUCCGGAAUUAUUGGGCGUAAAGAGCUCGUAGGCGGUUUGUCGCGUCUGCUGUGAAAACGCGAGGCUCAACCUCGCGCCUGCAGUGGGUACGGGCAGACUAGAGUGCGGUAGGGGAGAUUGGAAUUCCUGGUGUAGCGGUGGAAUGCGCAGAUAUCAGGAGGAACACCGGUGGCGAAGGCGGGUCUCUGGGCCGUAACUGACGCUGAGGAGCGAAAGCGUGGGGAGCGAACAGG